rnacentral:rRNA from 1 species
AUUGAACGCUGGCGGCAGGCUUAACACAUGCAAGUCGAACGAGUGGCGGACGGGUGAGUAAUGUUUGGGAAUCUAGCUUCUGGAGGGGGAUAAAUACUGGAAACGGUAGCUAAUACCGCAUACUAUCAGAUGAACCCAUAUGGGAUUAGCUAGUAGGUGGGGUAACGGCUCACCUAGGCGACGAUCCCUAGCUGGUCUGAGAGGAGGACACGCCACACUGGGACGGAGACACGGUCCAGACUCCUACGGGAGGCAGCAGUGGGGAAUAUUGCCCAAUGGGCGCAAGCCUGAUGCAGCCAUGCCGCGUGUAUGAAGAAGGCUUUCGGGUUGUAAAGUACUUUCAGCGGGGAGGCGUUACCCGCAGAAGAAGCACCGGCUAACUCCGUGCCAGCAGCCGCGGUAAUAC